CAUUUUCUACAUUUUGCACAACAUUUUUAUCCCUUCUAAAAUUAGUCAGUCUACCUCUCUACCUCCCCCCCCCGCCCUUAGAGUAAGAAAAAUGAAAUGAGCCAUGUCAACAUUCUGAAGCCUGGGGAAACAUGCCAGAAAUGAAGGUCUGUGGAGACUGAUGGAAGAGAAAAAUGCACAGAGACAGCACCCAGUAGCCUUCAGAGUAAUUUUUCUUAGAUGAACCUAAACUUGGCAUUUUCCUGCUUGAAAUCUUUUAGAGCUGGC
rnacentral:lncRNA from 1 species